AUCUCCACUGUUGCUCACCAACAGCCAGCAGCAGCAGCAUGUCUGAUGAUGCUUGGCAGGAGACUUUGCUCACAGAGCUUGGGAGGCAUCCUGUCUUCUCCAUUGGCAUUGCUAAUGUUCCAUCUGGAUUGAGGACUACAGGGAACCACAGCAUUUCCAGCAUCUUCAGAGCCCCGCCUACCGCUGACUGACAGCUCAUACAGUGAUGGUACUAUUCUAACUCUGAACAUGGAGCCUGGAGACCAGAAAACAGCUUUGCCUAUGAAUUCCCUGCAGAGCCCACGCUAGGCCUGGAGCACAGAGGGGUCUCUAGCGACACCAAUGAGGAUUCCUGGACUCCAGACUUCCUUCCCCAGCAAGCUUUUCCUGACACAGCAAUCCAAAACAGAGCAUCCAGGCAAGGCCUAAGUAGCAUGCUGUGAAGACCUGUCAUCCUCCUGAGAACCUCUGAGGAGUGCAGUGCUGUCAGAUAUUCUCGGAUAUUCUCGGAUCACUGAAGGAUGGGUGAGUAGCACCAGACCUCCAGUUACCAAAGGGAAGCUUUAUACAGGGUCAGGCCUGCCUCCUCCAAGGAGCAUCAGAACAGGUGACAGAAGAGAGGGAUAGGACCCUGUCACUGCC
rnacentral:lncRNA from 1 species